rnacentral:rRNA from 1 species
ACAGGGAUUGCCCUAGUAACGGCGAGUGAAGCGGCAACAGCUCAAAUUUGAAAUCUGGCGUCUUUGGCGUCCGAGUUGUAAUUUGCAGAGGGCGCUUUGGCAUUGGCAGCGGUCCAAGUUCCUUGGAACAGGACGUCACAGAGGGUGAGAAUCCCGUACGUGGUCGCUAGCCUCUACCGUGUAAAGCCCCUUCGACGAGUCGAGUUGUUUGGGAAUGCAGCUCUAAAUGGGAGGUAAAUUUCUUCUAAAGCUAAAUACUGGCCAGAGACCGAUAGCGCACAAGUAGAGUGAUCGAAAGAUGAAAAGCACUUUGGAAAGAGAGUUAAAAAGCACGUGAAAUUGUUGAAAGGGAAGCGCUUGCAGCCAGACUUGCCUGUAGUUGCUCAUCCGGGUUUCUACCCGGUGCACUCUUCUACAGGCAGGCCAGCAUCAGUUUGGGCGGUUGGAUAAAGGUCUCUGUCACGUACCUCCUCUCGGGGAGAUCUUAUAGGGGAGACGACAUGCAACCAGCCUGGACUGAGGUCCGCGCAUCUGCUAGGAUGCUGGCGUAAUGGCUGUAAGCGGCCCGUCUUGAAACACGGACCAAGGAGUCUAACAUCUAUGCGAGUGUUUGGGUGUCAAGCCCGAACGCGUAAUGAAAGUGAACGGAGGUGGGAACCCUUUGGGGUGCACCAUCGACCGAUCCUGAUGUCUUCGGAUGGAUUUGAGUAAGAGCAUAGCUGUUGGGACCCGAAAGAUGGUGAACUAUGCUUGAAUAGGGUGAAGCCAGAGGAAACUCUGGUGGAGGCUCGCAGCGGUUCUGACGUGCAAAUCGAUCGUCAAAUUUGGGCAUAGGGGCGAAAGACUAAUCGAACUAUCUAGUAGCUGGUUCCUGCCGAAGUUUCCCUCAGGAUAGCAGUAACGUUUUCAGUUUUAUGAGGUAAAGCGAAUGAUUAGAGGCCUGGGGGUUGAAACAACCUU